GGGAUGCUGUUGUGUUCUGGGUGUAGCACCCACCCAGCCAUGCUGAAACAAUGCCAUGGCCAACAUCCCUUCAGCUGUCCAGCCAGACUUGCCUGAAGCCAUCUGUACCUGCGGCCAUGCCUGUGUGCUUUCUUUGGCUUCUGGCUUUCUUUGCCGUUCCUUGUUUUCCUUUUGAAAAAUCCAACAUGGUCUGGAAAGCAUAUGACCACAGUUCAGUGGGGUUAGGGAGGGGAUCAGCGUGUCCGGUAAGGCUGCUAAGUGAGGUCCUUGAGUUGGGUGAGAAGUUGCCCUAGGUUGGGGGCAACCUAGGAUGUGGGUGAGACCUGGGGAAGGUGAGGCCCACAGAACCUUCCCUACGGGGGCUUUUCCUCCCCGCUUCCUCCUCCCCCCAACUCUCUUUCUGUCCACCCUUGUUGUUCUCUGAUCCACUUAUUCAGCAGACUCAAUGGGGGCCCUUGGUGCCAGGCCCUGAGAGGGCCCCUGAGGUACAGAGAUAAAUACGGCACUAUUUUAGGCCACAGGUGACUGCGAGCACCUUGAGCACAGGGAGCUGGCCUACCUUGUUCAUCACAGCAUUCCCAGCACCUGCUGAAUGAACGAACGAAUGAAUGCACAGAUGCAGCCAUGCCACCCCUGUCUCCGGGAGCUCACAUACAGGAAGGCAUGCUUAUUAGAGGAAAUACAGAGAAGUAGAAAGAAGAAAAUAAAACACCACCACCUAUGGCAAAUGAGACUAAAACAGAGAUGGGAAUAAGAAUCCCUUUCAACAUCACGGGAGGAUUGUCUGAAUAAGAUGAGCUGAUGCUCGUAAAGAGCCUUUCAUGGAUCAUCUCAUGAAUACAUAACGAGGCCGCGCUCAGGCGCAUCUGGCCCGGCCAGCGCCUCCGCCACCUAAUCUCGUCCAUGCUCCAAUAUCCAGGCGGCCCAGCUGGGGCCUGCCUUAAAGGAGCCGCUUCCCUUUCCUGCCUGGGGAUGCCAGGCCAGCCUGGCACCAGGCACCACCGAGACCCGGCCAUGAAGGGGGAUGGCAGACCUGGGGAAGGAAGAAGUCCUAAGACUCUGGAUUGCAGUGUAUCCAG